rnacentral:tRNA from 1 species
GCGCCUGUAGCUCAAUGGAUAGAGCACGUGGCUUCGGACCAUGUGGUUGCGGGUUCAACUCCUGCCAGGCGCG